rfam:Pan troglodytes isolate Yerkes chimp pedigree #C0471 (Clint) chromosome 12, whole genome shotgun sequence.
GCUGGGCAUGGUGGCAUGUGCCUGUAGUCCCAGUUACUUGGGAGGCUGAAGCAGAAGGAACCCUUGAGCCCAAAAGUUCUGGGCUGUAGUGAGCUAUGCCAAUUGAGUGUCUGCACUAAGUUCAGCAUCAGUAUGGUAACCUCCUGUUAGCGGGGCCUACGGGGCUGGCAAAGGAGGGGUGAAUGGACCCAGGUCGGAAGCAGAGCAGGUCAUAACUCCGGUGCUGAUCAGUAGUUGGAUCGCCUGUGAAUAGCCACUGCACUCCAGCCUGGGCAACAUAGCAAGACCCUAUUUUUA